AUUGAACGCUGGCGGCAGGCCUAACACAUGCAAGUCGAGCGGCAGCGGGAAAGUAGCUUGCUACUUUUGCCGGCGAGCGGCGGACGGGUGAGUAAUGCCUGGGAAAUUGCCCAGUCGAGGGGGAUAACAGUUGGAAACGACUGCUAAUACCGCAUACGCCCUACGGGGGAAAGCAGGGGACCUUCGGGCCUUGCGCGAUUGGAUAUGCCCGGGUGGGAUUAGCUAGUUGGUGAGGUAAUGGCUCACCAAGGCGACGAUCCCUAGCUGGUCUGAGAGGAUGAUCAGCCAUACUGGAACUGAGACACGGUCCAGACUCCUACGGGAGGCAGCAGUGGGGAAUAUUGCACAAUGGGGGAAACCCUGAUGCAGCCAUGCCGCGUGUGUGAAGAAGGCCUUCGGGUUGUAAAGCACUUUCAGCGAGGAGGAAAGGUUGAUGCCUAAUACGUAUCAACUGUGACGUUACUCGCAGAAGAAGCACCGGCUAACUCCGUGCCAGCCGCCGCAGUAACAC
rnacentral:rRNA from 1 species